rnacentral:rRNA from 1 species
GAUGAACGCUGGCGGCGUGCCUAAUACAUGCAAGUCGAGCGAACAGACGAGGUGCUUGCUCCUCUGACGUUAGCGGCGGACGGGUGAGUAACACGUGGAUAACCUACCUAUAAGUCUGGGAUAACUUCGGGAAACCGGAGCUAAUACCGGAUAAUAUAUUUAACCGCAUGGUUCAAUAGUGAAAUACGGUUUUUCUGUCACUUAUAGAUGUAUCCGCGCCGCAUUAGCUAGUUGGUAAGGUAACGGCUUACCAAGGCAACGAUGCGUAGCCGACCUGAGAGGGUGAUCGGCCACACGGGAACUGAGACACGGUCCAGACGCCUACGGGAGGCAGCAGUAGGGAAUCUUACGCAAUGGGCGAAAGCAUGACGGAGCAACGCCGCGUGAGUGAUGAAGGUCUUCGGAUCGUAAAACUCUGUUAUUAGGGAAGAACAAAUGUGUAAGUAAAUAUGCACGUCUUGACGGUACCUAAUCAGAAAGCAACGGCUAACUACGUG